CCUACGGGAGGCAGCAGUGGGGAAUAUUGGACAAUGGGCGAAAGCCUGAUCCAGCCAUGCCGCGUGUGUGAAGAAGGCCUUCGGGUUGUAAAGCACUUUCAGUGGGGAAGAAAGCCUUGGGGCUAAUACCCUCGAGGAAGGACAUCACCCACAGAAGAAGCACCGGCUAACUCCGUGCCAGCAGCCGCGGUAAUACGGAGGGUGCGAGCGUUAAUCGGAAUUACUGGGCGUAAAGCGCGCGUAGGCGGUCUGAUAAGCCGGUUGUGAAAGCCCCGGGCUCAACCUGGGAACGGCAUCCGGAACUGUCAGGCUAGAGUGCAGGAGAGGAAGGUAGAAUUCCCGGUGUAGCGGUGAAAUGCGUAGAGAUCGGGAGGAAUACCAGUGGCGAAGGCGGCCUUCUGGACUGACACUGACGCUGAGGUGCGAAAGCGUGGGUAGCAAACAGGAUUAGAUACCCUAGUAGUC
rnacentral:rRNA from 1 species